CGCGCGCGUCGGCCUGCGUGUUGCGUCACUUCCGCGACGCUUCGGAUUUCCGGGGUUUCGAGGCUGCCGGCCGGAAAAGGUACCCUACGCUCGGGAGGUUGACCACGGGAAAGGCUGUAGGGUCCGGGCUCGGGAGCUCGGCACACCGAGUGACCCUCAGGCCAUCGCUGGCGUGUCCGCGACUCGAGAGAAGCCGCUCUGUCCCCCCGUCCUUCCUCACUCCAUGCUUUCAGCUUCUGCUUGCACUAGCCUGAGGGCGACAAGAAGCCCCGAGGAUUAGCAGGAAUAGGUCGUCAGAAGAGAGGUCGCAGGGAGAGAUAACGCGUGGCUGCUGGUCGAUCUCAGAACUUUAAAAGGAUUCGAGUUUGAACCUGAAGGGAAUUAGUCCAAAAAGCAACCAGGCUGUAACCCCAGUACUGGGAAAGUGGAGACAGGAGGAUCAAGAUUUCUCAUCCCUGGUGUUUCUUGGCCUGGGUGACUUAGAACCUGUCUGAAAAUUUAAAAGGUGAAAAAGG